CAACGCCGCGUGGAGGAUAAAGUCCUUCGGGACGUAAACUCCUUUCGAUCGGGACGAUAAUGACGGUACCGGAAGAAGAAGCCCCGGCUAACUUCGUGC
rnacentral:rRNA from 1 species